CCAUGUCAGAGCAGCCAGGACAGCCCUCUCCUGAACUAACUAUUGAGCUACAUUGUGAACCAGUAAUCACCAGCAGGUUUUACAUUUGUACCAUUUUGAACUAAACGGUGAAAUCGUGAUAGCCAUAUUUUCUCCAACCACAUCAGUUCCUCCCAACCUGUAUGGGCAAUUUGGGAACAAUGACUCCUAGAGAAUGGAAGUGUAAUAGAAAGAGAACUGUGACUCAGAGAUCACUGCUGCAGCUGAGGCUAAAGUAUAAUUUGGAUCAGAUGCUUCAUAGAAUCCAGAAGGAAGGAAGAAGGAAGGAAGGAAGGAAGGAAGGAAGGAAGGAAGGAAGGAAGGAAGGAAGGAAGGAAGAAAGGAAGAAAGACUAUGUGCCACCACUCUGUUCUUUCCUGUUAUUGUAACAGCAAGUAAAUCCCUCCCCCAAUUCUCAGCUUAGUUUUCUUUCUUUAAUUCUGCUGUUACAACCCUUUCUUUUAAUAGAUGGCUAAGCAACAUUUAAUCAAUAUAUUUUACUAAACAUUCUAUUUCUGAACA